rnacentral:snRNA from 1 species
ACAUUGAGGGCAAUCUGGCUGAAACAUCUGUCACCCCAUUGAUCGCCAGGGUUGACUGGGCUGAUCUGGCUGGCUAGGCGGGUGUCCCCUUCCUCCCUCCCCACUCCACGUGCGUCCCUCCCGAAGCUGCGUGCUUGGUGGAGGAGGACGACCACCCCCGACAGAGGAGGACCAUUUUUUUCUUUUAUAGAUGAAGGCAUAUGGGAA